rnacentral:rRNA from 1 species
CGCUCGACACCUACGGGAGACAGCAGUGGGGAAUAUUGCACAAUGGGGGAAACCCUGAUGCAGCGACGCCGCGUGAGCGAAGAAGUAUUUCGGUAUGUAAAGCUCUAUCAGCAGGGAAGAAAGUGACGGUACCUGACUAAGAAGCACCGGCUAAAUACGUGCCAGCAGCCGGACGGUAAUCUGAGGCGGGCUGGACAAGGC